rnacentral:misc_RNA from 1 species
GUUGUUUCUCAUGUAAUAGGAGGUGACUGGAUUCCUGUGUGGCAUCAUUAUGUAGUUGCUGAUUUUCAGCAGUAGAAACAUGCUGCUUUAGCUCCAUUGCAGAUGAGUGCUGCUCUUGCUGCUGUUGUUGCUGGCUUGCACCAUUGGCAUUUUCAUCUUGUGUAGUAGUUUGCCAAUUUGAAAAUGACUGACUAGGAGUUUGAUUGAUUUCAUGGGACAAAACUGCGGAGUCAGAC